rnacentral:lncRNA from 1 species
GACACAUAACGGAGAGGAGUAGGGAAAUAAAGACCUGUCUGGUCCUUCCCCACUUCCCUAAUCCAUCUGUCUCCCUUGCUAUGUCUCUAAACCUUCUCCAGCCAGGACAUCGGAGGUACCCAGACAUUGUUAUGAAACUCCGCAUGUGCCCCUGGUGGACGCUGCUGGACCCAGCAUGCACACUUCUCGGCUAAGAGUCACCCUGGAUGAACCACCAUUGCCAGCGGGGAGCAUGUUGCAGCUUUCCCACGCAGUGGAUGAGAACGAAGGUUACGACCAUUGUGUGGGAGGCGUCUGUGUAGCAAUUGCUGGAAUCACUUGUGGCAUUGUAGAAAGACUGAGCGUGGGAAAGAAGACGCAUUCUGAAGUCACCCCGAUUUAUGUUAAAUUAUCACCUUGACUACUGCUAUAGAACGAAUGUUUAUGUCCCCCACCCAAAUUCGUAUGCUAAGACCUAAUAGCCAAUAAGAUAGUAUUAAUAGAUGGGGCCUUUGGGAGGUGAGUGGCUCAUGAGGGCAGAGUCCUCAAAACCAGAUAAGUGCCCGAAUAAAAGGGGCCCCAGAGAGAUCCCUUGCACCGUCUACCAUGUGAAGUGUAGAACACAGCGAGAAGGCCACCUAUGAGCCAGAACGUGGGCCCUCACCAGAACCCAGUUGUGCUGGCACCCUGAUCCUGGACUUCCAGCCUCCAAAAUGACGACAAAGAAGUUUGUUUUUCCUGAGCCAUCCACUUCAAAGUAUUCUGUCAUAGCUCCCCAAAUAGACUAAGACAUCUACUUAACCUUGGUCAAACGUUUAACCUUGGAGUCCACGCCUCUGAAAUGGUGACAAUAACACUGUGUAUUUCCUACUUUAUGAUCAGGAUUAAUAAAUGUAAUUUAUUAAUCAGAAAUUAGUAAUUUCUGAUUAUUAAUUC